AAAUUGUAUAUAACAAUUAAAAUUAAUAGAAAGUUAUAUCAUCAUUCUUUUUUUCCCCCAUAGACAGCAUAAUGAAGAGACUGAAGGGACCUCAUCCCUUUAGGCAUCUUGGGUGGAGAACUCAAGCUGAAGCUACUUCAGAAGCUAUUCUCUCUUCCAGAGACUCAAGUAUAGGGAGAAAUUGGCAUUGGUUCUUUGGAUAUGGAAGAAACCGUGUCAGGGAAAUACGAGACCUCCAACAGAAAAAUUUGGUGGAAAAGAGUUUUCCUCUACACAAUCAAUCAGCCUUGGUUCUCAAGCAGCCAAAGAGAAAUGAAGGUCAACUUUCUUCAGUAUUUCUUCACUAUUACAUUAAGAGAAGUUUGUAUUUGAGAUUUGAGAUUUUUAUCAGAGUAUAAGUGUAUAUUACUCAGAAGACAUUAGCUUUCCUCUAGUACUUAUAAAGUGUUUUGCUUAUUUCAGCAUGGCAUAGUAUAUAGAGUCAACCUCUGAACCAAGAAGACCCAAAGAAAAUUCUCUGCUUUGACAGGAAAGAAG
rnacentral:lncRNA from 1 species